rnacentral:rRNA from 1 species
GAUGAACGCUGGCGGCGUGCCUAAUACAUGCAAGUCGAGCGAACAGACGAGGAGCUUGCUCCUCUGACGUUAGCGGCGGACGGGUGAGUAACACGUGGAUAACCUACCUAUAAGACUGGGAUAACUUCGGGUAACCGGAGCUAAUACCGGAUAAUAUAUUGAACCGCAUGGUUCAAUAGUGAAAGACGGUUUUGCUGUCACUUAUAGAUGGAUCCGCGCCGCAUUAGCUAGUUGGUAAGGUAACGGCUUACCAAGGCAACGAUGCGUAGCCGACCUGAGAGGGUGAUCGGCCACACUGGAACUGAGACACGGUCCAGACUCCUACGGGAGGCAGCAGUAGGGAAUCUUCCGCAAAGGGCGAAAGCCUGACGGAGCAACGCCGCGUGAGUGAUGAAGGUCUUCGGAUCGUAAAACUCUGUUAUUAGGGAAGAACAAAUGUGUAAGUAACUAUGCACGUCUUGACGGUACCUAAUCAGAAAGCCACGGCUAACUACGUG